rnacentral:rRNA from 1 species
UACAGAGGUCUCAAGCGUUGUUCGGAUUCAUUGGGCGUAAAGGGUGCGUAGGCGGCGGGGCCAGUCUGAUGUGAAAAUCCCGGGGCUCAGCCCCGGAACUGCAUUGGAUACUGCCUUGCUAGAGUACUGGAGAGGGAACUGGAAUUUACGGUGUAGCAGUGAAAUGCGUAGAGAUCGUAAGGAAGGCCGGUGGCGAAGGCGAGUUCCUGGACAGUUACUGACGCUGAGGCACGAAGGCCAGGGGAGCAAACGGG